UUGUCUAUCUGGUUUGCUAUUAAAUGAAAAAAAGAAGAAGACCCAUGGCCUAGGUUUGUGACCUUCAUUGCACUUUGGAGGGGUGCUUGCCUAAGGUCGGCCCAAGUGGUCGAGCCUACGUCAUAAUUUGUUGCAGCGGGGGCCUGCGUUCGCGCAGCCCCUAC
rnacentral:snRNA from 2 species